AGUGAACGCUGGCGGUAGGCCUAACACAUGCAAGUCGAACGGCAGCACAGGAGAGCUUGCUCUCUGGGUGGCGAGUGGCGGACGGGUGAGGAAUACAUCGGAAUCUACUCUGUCGUGGGGGAUAACGUAGGGAAACUUACGCUAAUACCGCAUACGACCUACGGGUGAAAGCAGGGGACCUUCGGGCCUUGCGCGAUUGAAUGAGCCGAUGUCGGAUGAGCUAGUUGGCGGGGUAAAGGCCAACCAAGGCGACGAUCCGUAGCUGGUCUGAGAGGAUGAUCAGCCACACUGGAACUGAGACACGGUCCAGACUCCUACGGGAGGCAGCAGUGGGGAAUAUUGGACAAUGGGCGCAAGCCUGAUCCAGCCAUACCGCGUGGGUGAAGAAGGCCUUCGGGUUGUAAAGCCCUUUUGUUGGGAAAGAAAUCCAGCUGGCUAAUACCCGGUUGGGAUGACGGUACCCAAAGAAUAAGCACCGGCUAACUUCGUGCCAGCAGCCGCAGUAA
rnacentral:rRNA from 1 species